rnacentral:rRNA from 1 species
GAUGAACGCUGGCGGCGUGCCUAAUACAUGCAAGUCGAGCGAACAGAUGCGGAUCUUGCUCCUCUCACGUUAGCGGCGGACGGGUGAGUAACACGUGGACAACCUACCUAUUAGGCUUGGAUAACUUCGGGAAACCGUAGUUAAUACCGUAUAAUAUAUUGAACCGCAUGGGUCAAUAGUGUAAGACGGUUUUGCUGUCGCUUAUAGAUGGAUCCGCGCCGCAUUAGCUAGUUGGUAAGGUAACGGCUUACCAAGGCAACGAUGCGUAGCCUACCUGAGAGAGUGAUAGGCCACCCUGGAACGGAGACACGGUCCAGACUACUACGGGAGGCAGCAGUAGGGAAUCUUACGCAGUGGGCGGAAGCAUGACGGAGCAACGGCGCGUGAGUGAUGAAGGUCUUCGGAUCGUAAAAAUGUGUUAUUAGGGAAGAACAAAUGUGUACGUAACUAUGCACGUCUUGACGGUACCUAAUCAGAAAGCAACGGCUAACUACGUG